rnacentral:rRNA from 1 species
UCGAACGGCAGCACGGAGCUUGCUCUGGUGGCGAGUGGCGAACGGGUGAGUAAUAUAUCGGAACGUACCCUAGAGUGGGGGAUAACGUAGCGAAAGUUACGCUAAUACCGCAUACGAUCUAAGGAUGAAAGUGGGGGACCUUCGGGCCUCGCGCGAUUGGAGCGGCCGAUGGCAGAUUAGCUAGUUGGUGAGGUAAUGGCUCACCAAGGCGACGAUCCGUAACUGGUCUGAGAGGAUGAUCAGUCACACUGGAACUGAGACACGGUCCAGACUCCUACGGGAGGCAGCAGUAGGGAAUCUUGGGCAAUGGGGGAAACCCUGACCCAGAGACGCCGUUUGAAGGAUGAAGCCCUUUGGGGUGUAAACUUCUGUCGUGGGGGAAGAUAAUGACUGUACCCCAAAAGGAAGCACCGGCUAACUCUGUGCCAGCAGCCGCGGUAAU